rnacentral:rRNA from 1 species
UACGUAGGUGGCGAGCGUUAUCCGGAAUGAUUGGGCGUAAAGGGUGCGUAGGCGGCCUGCUAAGUCUGGAGUGAAAGGUACCGGCUCAACCGGUACAGGCUCUGGAAACUGGCGGGCUAGAGAGCAGGAGAGGGCGGUGGAACUCCAUGUGUAGCGGUAAAAUGCGUAGAUAUAUGGAAGAACACCGGUGGCGAAAGCGGCUCUCUGGCCUGUAACUGACACUGAGGCUCGAAAGCGUGGGGAGCAAACAGG